rnacentral:tRNA from 1 species
UAGCUAUUUAGAAAAUGGUGUUUCAAUUCACGGCCAUCUGGGAGAUGGCCGGCUUGCAACCAUUAGUACUACACCAACAAUGACAGU